CCAUUAUCACCUUUAAUCAAUUAAAAAUAACAGAAACAUCAGCAAUAUAACCAACACAUCCCUAAAUCUCCUCUUCUUCAUGUGAAAUUCAACCAAACCAAGCUUCCAUCACCUCAAUCACAGCAAAUCCGCUGAAAUCCUUGGCUUUUACAGACCCAAUUGUCUUCUCUAUCACUUCAAGAUGAAGACUUCUACUCCUUUUCUCUCUCUUUUUAUUUUUUGAAUUUUCAAUUUUAUCUUCUUGAAGAAGCUAUUGGAGCUACGUUAUUCGCCUAUAAAUACAACCUCCUAUUCCUUCAUUGGGGGAGGAGACAUCAAGUUCCCUGUUUACCUUUAUUUUCUCAAUUGGAGUUGAAUUCGAGUUCGAAUUGAUGAGGUCAUGAUCUCGUCAGAAUUUGACGUUGGAUCCCCUAGUUCACUGCACAACAUCCACUGUUUGUAUUGUUAUCAAUGAGGAGUUUGAUAGAAAUAAUGUAAGCCAGCAGCCUGAAACUCAAACAACUCUUCUAUUCUCUUUCGUCCAGAUGGAUUCAUCGAUUAAGGAUGUCAUGUUCAUCCAAUGUCUCAUAUUUCACAUAUGUGUGUUGUUUCUGUAUAAAUCUUGAAAAUAAAGUAUGUUUAAUUAUCUGUUAUAACAGGCAUGUUUGAUAGACUACCCUUUCCUGUGUAUGUAUCAUAACCGUAUUAUAUUAAUAUAUAUGUCUUGUUCAAA